UCUGACAUUUUAGUUUGAUGCAUUUCCAACUAUUACACAUUAAAAAAAUUAUACAUAAAACAAAACAAAAGGUUAUAACAUUAAAAGAAAAAAAAAGUAAAAUGAUGCAAAUUGGCCAACAAGUGUCGGUUGCAAAAAAAAUUAUAGAAUAAAUUGGCUAACAAGUUUGGCAAACAACGAAUAUUUAAAAUAUAAAUGAAAGAAAAAUUGAAAUAAAGCUAACUUUUCAGUCAGGGUCCACUUUUUCCUUGAUUUAUGUGUUUGGUUGGGUUCUAUGUUUGAGAGCCAACUUUGAAAACUUAUGCUAACACAUCAACUUGCAAUGAUAUGGAGCUAGCUCCCAACUCUUUAAAUUUGGUAAGGAGUUACCAAUACCACCACCCUAAGAGAGGCUGUGAGAGAGAAUGUGCUCAUCCUCGAAGUUGACUUCGCCGCUGUAGAAAGCUUCAUGUAAUAUCUCAGUCGUGGCGCCGUCAGCAGCUUUCUUCCUUGCUACUUCUUUUUUAGCUCGAGCGUCAACUUCACCUUUAGCUUGAGCAGCUUCUUCUACACAUGUUCUGUUUGCCGCUUUCUUGUUUCCUAGCUCAGCCGCAUGCGCUUCUUCUUCUUCUUCUUCAAAUAAUCCGUGCAAAUGCGCGUUUCCAUUAAAGGGAGUAUCGCAUUUCUUAGUCUGAGGGGUCUGUUUGCAAUUUAGCUAAUGCAGAAGGUUUUAGUUGUGCAAUUAAAUCAUUAUAUCGUGACCGUUGGAUCUAAUCACACAUCUGAGAUUUAAAGUGGCAGAGGGAGUUAGUUAUUACUAAUUCUGGGAUCUCAUCUUCUUCCCUAAGCUUGAUUUGCAGACUGUGUGCGAGAAAGGGAAAUAGAGAGAAUAAUUUCUGCCAUUCAAAGCUUGUUUCUGGCAAUAGUUUUUCUUCUUGGUGAUAUGUUUCUCUUGUAAUCAAAGUUGGAUUGUUGAAUAAAGUGAAUCUCAAUUUUCUUGGCCUGUGGAUGUAGGUUGAAAAAUCGAAUCACGUAAAUCCUUCUUGUGUCGAUUUCUUUUGCCAUUUUUCGCCGAUUGCUUAACAAGUGGCGCCGUCUGUAGGAAGGGAGACCACGAUCAGCGAUAAGAUGCCGAUGCCAAGAGUUGAAUCAGGAAGUUUAUUGUGAAAAAUGAUUUCGCUUUUUGGCGGAUUAAAAUGUGCGCACUCUUAUCACAGCAGGGUUUGGCAGCUGCGUUGAAGGUUGAUGAUGUCUCAUCCUCAUCUCUGAUAUUGACUCAAAGGAGAAAAUUGAUGCAGCUGUAGAGACAGAUCUCAAGAGAGCUAAAAUGCGGAUAAGGUGUUGUGAGAGGUGGCAAGGGAACAAUCUGCAGCAGCUGUUUGGACAAAGCUUGAGUCGAUUUAUAUGACCAAAUCAGUACUAGCCAAUCGACUCUACUUAAAGCAGAUGUUGUAUUCUUUCAAAGUCUUGGAUGCUAAACCUUUGGAAUAUCAUCUUGAAGCAUUUAACAAUAUUAUUGAUGAUCUUGAAAAUGUGGAUGUCAAAGUUGAGGAUGAAGAUCAAGCAAUCAUCAUGUUGAAUGCACUACCUCUCUUAUAUGAUCACCUUAAAGGUGUCAUGCUAUAUGGGAGGGAAAAUGACAUCUCAGUUGGGGAAGUAUAGACAGCUUUGAAGGCCAAAGAGCUCCAGAAAGCAUCAAGCUCAUCAACAAAGGCCAAAGACAUUGUUGGUGAAGGCUUAUCUGUGAAACAGAAAGAUGGAAAUUCAAGAAGACCAUUAUUGAUUAGAAAUGAAUUUUCAUACACAAACUUGUUAUCAUUGCAAGAAACCUGGACAUUGGAAUAGCGAUUGUUUGAUUUGGAAGAGAAAUAAAAAACAAUCCAACUGCAAUGGAAAGCAGGGGCAGAAGGAACCUGAAGAAUGUGAUGUUGCAGAAGCUUUAAAUGUGAUGGAGAAUCACAUUGAUCAUUAAUGGAUUUUGGAUUCAGGAUGCUCUUUUCAUAUGCGCCCAGAAGAGGAUUGAUUUUCUGAGCUUGAGCAUCAUGGAGCUGGAUCUAUUUUGCUAGGUAAUAAUCAGUCAUGUGCAGUAAAAAGGAUAGACAGCAUAAGGUUCAAACUUCAUGAUGGAAGUAUAAGAACUUUGCUGGAUGUUAGAUAUGUUCCUAGCCUUAAGAGAAGCCUCAUUUCUCUUGGAACUCUGAAAAGGAAAGGGUACUAGUGGAGCUCAACUAAAGGAGGCAUUAUAAUGAUAAAGCAUAUUCUUAUUGUUAAAAGUUGUGCACGGUGCAACUGGUUGCACCCAUGACCACCUCAAUGCAAUUUGGAUGUAAUUUAAAAGUUGUGGAUCUGUCCCACUUUAUUGUUAAAGCAUAUUCUUAUUUAUCUCUCA